rnacentral:tRNA from 1 species
UCCCUGGUAGCUCAGUUGGUAAAGAAUCUGCCUGCAAUGCAGGAGACCUGGGUUCAACUCCUGGGUUGGGAA